rnacentral:rRNA from 1 species
CGGGGGGAGCAAGCGUUGUUCGGAUUUACUGGGCGUAAAGGGCGCGUAGGCGGCCUCCGCAAGUCAGUUGUGAAAUCUCCGGGCUUAACUCGGAAAGGUCAACUGAUACUGCGGGGCUAGAGUGCGGAAGGGGCAACUGGAAUUCUCGGUGUAGCGGUGAAAUGCGUAGAUAUCGAGAGGAACACCUGCGGCGAAGGCGGGUUGCUGGGCCGACACUGACGCUGAGGCGCGAAAGCUAGGGGAGCGAACGGGAUUAGAUACCCCGGUAGUCCUAGCCUUAAACGAUGAAUGCUUGGUGUCUGGGGUUAUAUAGUCCCCGGGUGCCGUAGCUAACGCUUUAAGCAUUCCGCCUGGGGAGUACGGUCGCAAGACUG